GUGGGGAAUAUUGGACAAUGGGCGAAAGCCUGAUCCAGCCAUGCCGCGUGUGUGAAGAAGGUCUUCGGAUUGUAAAGCACUUUAAGUUGGGAGGAAGGGCAUUAACCUAAUACGUUAGUGUUUUGACGUUACCGACAGAAUAAGCACCGGCUAACUUCGUGCCAGCAGCCGCGGUAAUACGAAGGGUGCAAGCGUUAAUCGGAAUUACUGGGCGUAAAGCGCGCGUAGGUGGUUCGUUAAGUUGGAUGUGAAAGCCCCGGGCUCAACCUGGGAACGGCAUCCAAAACUACUGAGCUAGAGUACGGUAGAGGGUAGUGGAAUUUCCUGUGUAGCGGUGAAAUGCGUAGAUAUAGGAAGGAACCCCAGUGGCGAAGGCGACUACCUGGACUGAUACUGACACUGAGGUGCGAAAGCGUGGGGAGCAAACAGGAUUAGAAACCCCUGUAGUCC
rnacentral:rRNA from 1 species